UGGGGCAGAGUCCAGGGCAGCUCAAGGCUCCUCCACACACACACCCGCUGAACUCUGAGCGCCCUGAGCUGCUGAGAUGGGGCGGGCCGGGGCCGCCGCCGUGAUCCCGGGCCUGGCCCUGCUCUGGGCAGUGGGGCUGGGGGGUGCCGCCCCCAGCCCCCCACGCCUUCGGCUCUCCUUCCAAGAGCUCCAGGCCUGGCAUGGUCUCCAGACUUUCAGCCUGGAGCGAACCUGCUGCUACGAGGCCUUGCUGGUGGAUGAGGAGCGUGGACGCCUGUUUGUGGGCGCCGAGAACCAUGUGGCCUCCCUCAACCUGGACAACAUCAGCAAGCGGGCCAAGAAGGUGCCAGGGACUCCCAACCCCAGCACUCCCCAGGGAAGGAGCCCUAGGACCCCACUCCAGCCUGCCUGGAGAGACCCAGAGGAAUGGGCUCCCUGAGACUGAGUGCAUGAACUUCGUGAAGUUGCUGCAUGCCUACAACCGCACCCAUUUGCUGGCCUGUGGCACGGGAGCCUUCCACCCAACCUGUGCCUUUGUGGAAGUGGGCCACCGGGCAGAGGUAAGGCUGGAUCUAGGCAGGGAGGGAGGUCAGGAGGGUAAGAAGGGCCUGGUAGUCACAACUUGCCACAACUCCCAGGAGCCCGUCCUCCGGCUGGACCCAGGAAGGAUAGAGGAUGGCAAGGGGAAGAGUCCUUAUGACCCCAGGCAUCGGGCUGCCUCCGUGCUGGUGGGGGAGGAGCUAUACUCAGGGGUGGCAGCAGACCUCAUGGGACGAGACUUUACCAUCUUUCGAAGCCUAGGGCAACGUCCGAGUCUCCGAACAGAGCCACACGACUCCCGCUGGCUCAAUGAGCCCAAGUUUGUCAAGGUAUUUUGGAUCCCGGAGAGCGAGAACCCAGACGACGACAAAAUCUACUUCUUCUUUCGUGAGACGGCGGUAGAGGCGGCGCCGGCACUGGGACGCCUGUCCGUGUCCCGCGUUGGCCAGAUCUGCCGGAACGACGUGGGCGGCCAGCGCAGCCUGGUCAACAAGUGGACGACGUUCCUGAAGGCGCGGCUGGUGUGCUCGGUGCCCGGCGUCGAGGGCGACACCCACUUCGAUCAGCUCCGUGAGUGCGGGAGUGGGUAUGGGGUUAGGGAGGG
rnacentral:sRNA from 1 species